GAGAUGCCAGGCGCUGCAGGCACCCACAUGGCUGCAACUCUCACUGUUCCUCUGCUGAGGCCUGGGGUGGUGUGCUGUGGUCCUAAGCAAGUUCCUCAUGGUUGUGCCUCUCUCCGUUCCUCUGUUCUUUUAAAACUCUGUGACAAACACAACUGCAGCCAUCUUUCCCGUGUGAACAUGAAUGUGGUGAUCUUUUCCAGAAUCGUGGAAUGAAGUAAGUUCAAACACGAGAUACCA
rnacentral:lncRNA from 1 species